rnacentral:rRNA from 1 species
UAUCAGCUUGUUGGUGGGGUAAUGGCCUACCAAGGCGACGACGGGUAGCCGGCCUGAGAGGGUGACCGGCCACACUGGGACUGAGACACUGCCCAGACUCCUACGGGAGGCUGCAGUCGAGAAUCUUCGGCAAUGGGCGCAAGCCUGACCGAGCGACGCCGCGUGGAGGAUGAAGGCCUUCGGGUUGUAAACUCCUGUCGAGGGGGAGGAAGGCGCAAGCUUGACCGAUCCCUGGAGGAAGCACGGGCUAAGUUCGUGCCAGCAGCCGCGGUAAGACGAACCGUGCGAACGUUAUUCGGAAUCACUGGGCUUAAAGCGCGUGUAGGCGGGCCGCCACGUCGGCUGCUGAAAUCCCCCGGCUCAACCGGGGAACGGGCACCGAUACGAGCGGCCUUGAGGGGGGUAGGGGGACCUGGAACUUCCGGUGGAGCGGUGAAAUGCGUUGAGAUCGGAAGGAACGCCCGUGGCGAAAGCGAGGUCCUGGACCCUUUCUGACGCUGAGACGCGAAAGCCAGGGGAGCGAACGGGAUUAGAUACCCCGGUAGUCCUGGCCGUAAACGAUGAACACUGGGUAGGGGGCUCGCCGAUGGGCUCCCUGCCGUAGGGAAACCGUGAAGUGUUCCGCCUGGGGAGUAUGGUCGCAAGGCUGAA